UUCCGCUAAAAUUAGAUCCAUUUUUUUAAGUAUUGUUUCUCUCCCCUUGUGUGAUUGAUAUUCUUGAUUCUCUUGUGCAAUAAAGAUACAUGCAGUUCUAAUAAAGUCGUAAGCACAUACCUGCUUAAGCACGGAAUAAAUUCCCAUAUCACCUGUCAGUUGUUUGUGAAUUAGGAAUACUAGAAGGGUGUGCAGUGACAUCUAUAAUACACUUUGUUAUUACACGAUCUCUUCUCUGGUAUACUUGUGUGUGCAGAUUUGAUUUAAUCGUCAUUAUUUAUGAACUUGUACUUGGCAAAGGUUUUAAUGUGAGUUCUUUUUUCAAAUAUAUGGCAUCAUGAUAGGAAUAGAAUGCAGUUAGAAGUACUCAUGCGUCUAGCCAAUUGUAGCUUUGGUUUUUCACAUUGUUAUAUCAAACAUAGAUUCUUUUUACAUGGAAUUGGAAGAUUAUGAGAUCAUAAAAACUCAAAGGCUUGACUUCUUUUCAAGUUGACAACAAGUAAAGCGUCGAUCAAAAUAUUCAGUUUUAAUGAAUUUAUUGUAAUUUCCAUAACCUUAGAUUUCGUAAAUUCUUAUUUUUUUGGGUAUUUUUGAGGUCUAUAAUGAUAUUGGCACAUUGGAAAUUAGAAUCAUGGAUGUUGUAGAAGGAUAAGAAAAGUUCAUAUAAAAUUCAGAUUAUCUAGAACUCUAAUUUCAUACACCUUUUUUCAUAAAUAGCAAACUAUUUCCUCUCAGCUCAUGUAGAAUUCUAGCCGUAUGUUCUAUCUCUUGCUGUUAUUUAUUUUUUCCGUUUCAGUGUUUAAUGAUUCGUUUUGCCAUGUUAUCAGGGUUUGAUGUGCCUUUUACAUGAUGUGGUAUAUGGAGCUAGAUUCACCAGAUAUUUAUACAUGACUUAAUUUUGGAAUCGUUUGCAGAGAGUUGAUAGGAGAGAGAUGGUAUAUUUUGAUUUGCUUACAGAUUUAACUUUGUGUAGCUAGAGGGGCCAAGGUUGUUAUUUUAUUCUUGUUUGUGUUCGGUGGAUGGGGGAUGAAUAUUAUUCUUUGCUUUACUACUUCUAGCCAUAUUUGUUAUUGUAAUUAGCCGUUUGUCACGUCUAGAAUUGGUUUUUGCUGGCGAUUCUUCCUGUCUACUAAAUCCGGCAGAAGAAUUUUAUUUCAUGAUAUAUAGGUUGUACCAUGUUUAUUCA